UGGGGGAUAUUGCACAAUGGGCGCAAGCCUGAUGCAGCGACGCCGCGUGGGGGAUGAAGGCCUUCGGGUUGUAAACUUCUUUUGCUCUGAACAAGGCGCACUUUGGGGUGUGUUGAGUGUAGGGGUUGAUUAGCGCCGGCUAACUACGUGCCAGCAGCCGCGGUAAUACGUAGGGCGCGAGCGUUGUCCGGAAUUAUUGGGCGUAAAGGGCUUGUAGGUGGCUGGUUGCGUCUGUCGUGAAAGCUCAUGGCUUAACUGUGGGUUUGCGGUGGGUACGGGCUGGCUUGAGUGCAGUAGGGGGGGCUGGAAUUCCUGGUGUAGCGGUGGAAUGCGCAGAUAUCAGGAGGAAUACCGGUGGCGAAGGCGGGUCUCUGGGCUGUUACUGACACUGAGGAGCGAAAGCAUGGGGAGCGAACAGG
rnacentral:rRNA from 1 species